rnacentral:rRNA from 1 species
UACGUAGGUGGCAAGCGUUGUCCGGAUUUACUGGGCGUAAAGGAUGCGUAGGCGGACAUUUAAGUCAGAUGUGAAAUACCCGAGCUUAACUUGGGUGCUGCAUUUGAAACUGGGUGUCUAGAGUGCAGGAGAGGUAAGUGGAAUUCCUAGUGUAGCGGUGAAAUGCAUAGAGAUUAGGAAGAACACCGGUGGGCGAAGGCGGUCAUCCUGGGUACUUGACUGACGACUG